rnacentral:rRNA from 1 species
GAUUAACGCUGGCGGCGUGCAUAACACAUGCAAGUCGAACGAUGAAGAUUAUUAGACUUCUUCGGAAUGAAAAUAAUUGGAUUAGUGGCGGACGGGUGAGUAACGCGUGAGUAACCUGCCUUACACAAGGGGAUAGCCGUUGGAAACGACGAAUAAUACCCUAUGAAACUAUCGCUUCGCAUGAAGCGAUAGUCAAAGUGUUAGCGGUGUAAGAUGGACUUGCGUCUGAUUAGCUAGUUGGUGAGAAAAAAGCCCACCAAGGCAACGAUCAGUAGCCGGCUUGAGAGAGUGUACGGCCACAUUGGGACUGAGACACGGCCCAGACUCCUACGGGAGGCAGCAGUGGGGAAUUUUGCACAAUGGGGGAAACCCUGAUGCAGCGACGCCGCGUGAUUUAGAAGGCCUUCGGGUUGUAAAAAUCUUUUGUAUAGGAAGAAAAUGACAGUACUAUACGAAUAAGGUCCGGCUAAUUACGUGCCAGCAGCCGCGGUAAUACGUAGGUGACAAGCGUUGUCCGGAUUUAUUGGGCGUAAAGGGAGCGCAGGCGGUCUGUUUAGUCUAAUGUGAAAGCCCACGGCUUAACCGUGGAACGGCAUUGGAAACUGGCAGACUUGAAUGUAGAAGAGGAAAAUGGAAUUCCAAGUGUAGCGGUGGAAUGCGUAGAUAUUUGGAGGAACACCAGUGGCGAAGGCGAUUUUCUGGUCUAACAUUGACGCUGAGGCUCGAAAGCGUGGGGAGCGAACAGGAUUAGAUACCCUGGUAGUCCACGCCGUAAACGAUGAGUGCUAAGUGUUGGGGGCUUUCCGGCCCUCGGUGCUGGAGCUAACGUAUUAAGCACUCCGCCUGGGGAUUACGACCGCAAGGUUGAAACUCAAAAGAAUUGACGGGGACCCGCACAAGCGGUGGAGCAUGUGGUUUAAUUCGAAGCAACGCGAAGAACCUUACCAGCUCUUGACAUCUUCUGACAACUCUAGAGAUAGAGCGUUCCCUUCGGGGACAGAAUGACAGGUGGUGCAUGGUUGUCGUCAGCUCGUGUCGUGAGAUGUUGGGUUAAGUCCCGUAACGAGCGCAAUCCUUGUUGUUAGUUGCCAGCAUUAAGUUGGGCACUUUAACGAGACUGCCGGUGAUAAACUGGAGGAAGGCGGGGAUGACGUCAAAUCAUCAUGCCCCUUAUGAGCUGGGCUACACACGUGCUACAAUGGAUGGUACAACGAGCAGCGAUCCCGCAAGGGCUAGCUAAUCUUUCAAAGCCAUUCUCAGUUCGGAUUGCACUCUGCAACUCGAGUGCAUGAAGUCGGAAUCGCUAGUAAUCGCGAAUCAGAAUGUCGCGGUGAAUCCGUUCCCGGGUCU